rnacentral:rRNA from 1 species
UCAAAAACAUUUCCUUUUGAGAGGAUGAAAGGUAUAACCUGCCCCCUGAGAAUUAAAUGGCCGCGGUAUUUUGACCGUGCAAAGGUAGCAUAAUCAUUAGUUUUUUAAAUGAGGACUGGAAUGAAAGGUUGAACGAGAAAUAUAUUGUCUCUUUUUUACGACUAAAAUUUUAUUUUAUAGUGAAAAGGCUAUAAUGAUGUAGGAGGACGAGAAGACCCUAUAGAGCUUUAUAAAUAAUUCUUGUUAAAUUGGAAAAAGUUUUAACGAUAUUAUGUUUAUUAAAUUGGGGUGAUAAUAGAAUAAAUAAACUUCUAAAAAAAGAAACAUUUUAGGUGGAUAAAAGAUCUCAAGAAAAUAGAGAAUAAGUUACCUUAGGGAUAACAGCGUAAUCCUUUCGGAGAGUUCAAAUUGAUGAGAGGGAUUGCGACCUCGAUGUUGGAUUAGAGGGAAUUACGGGGCAGCCCCUGUAAGGUUAGGUCUGUUCGACCAAUAAAUUUCUACAUGAUCU